UGGGGAAUAUUGGACAAUGGGGGAAACCCUGAUCCAGCGACGCCGCGUGUGUGAAGAAGGCCUGCGGGUUGUAAAGUCCUUUCGACGGAGACGAUAAUGACGGUAUCCGUAGAAGAAGCCCCGGCUAAUUUCGUGCCAGCAGCCGCGGUAAUACGAAAGGGGCUAGCGUUGUUCGGAAUUACUGGGCGUAAAGCGCACGUAGGCGGUCGUGUAAGAUGGGGGUGAAAUCCCGGAGCUCAACUCCGGAACUGCCUUCAUGACUGCAUGGCUAGAGGAUGCGAGAGGUUGGCGGAAUUCCGAGUGUAGAGGUGAAAUUCGUAGAUAUUCGGAAGAACACCAGUGGCGAAGGCGGCCAACUGGCGCAUUUCUGAUGCUGAGGUGCGAAAGCGUGGGGAGCAAACAGGAUUAGAUACCCCAGUAGUCCCUGAGCGGGCUGGCAAGGCGCAU
rnacentral:rRNA from 1 species